AUGGCGUCACCUGAGAAGCGAUUCUGCCGUGGAUCAGGGGAAACAUUGGGUUCGUCUCACGCCGCCCGCUACCCCAGCCCUUGCAGGGAGGAUCUCCGUGAUACGCUGGAGGAGGUGGAUGUAGUCGAACUCGAACCCCAUGGCCAGCCGGCGCGCAUGGUCACCGAUCCUGGUCAGAUUGCCUGGCAUGCCCUGGACCUCAAGUUCCCACGGGAGGAGAGCGAAUCAGACUGGAGCGACUGGAGCGACGGCGAUGACCGAGUGAUUGACGGGGUGAAGAAAGAUUGCCCAGGGAAUGAAGCAGUCGAUGGUGAUGAGGACGACAACUGCAAUGGCCAAGUCGUUUACGAGGACAAUAAACCAGACACGAAGAUAAUCUGCCCAGGAAAGCUCUAUCCUGAGAGCGAAGCAGAGGAAAUUGAGCUGGAGUGGAUUGAGAGGUACUGCAAGCAGAUGGGAGAAUACUCUAAACUGUUUGAUGACAUUCUGGCCCGGGAGCACCACGACGAUUCUACUACUUUGCCUCCUUUUCCUAUGAAACUGCUCCCUCCCACAACAUCUCUAUGCUUCAUGGAGGGGUACUGCUACCACAGUGUUUAUAAGACCCAUGAUACUUCUACCACUCCAUCAACUCUUGGAUAUCGCACACCACAACAGAUGCUACAGUUCUUUUCAAUGAGCUUACCAAGCUCUGGGCUCUCCUAUCCCAUUAGUGUGUAUGGAAUACUUGCUGUUCGCGAUGACUUGGACCAGCGACGGAAUUACCUCUUUAACUGUCCUAGAGAUACUGCUGUAGAGAUUGUGAAUCAGGAAUCCUUUGACUUGCCUCUUUGUAGCCCGUGUCGAGGAAUAUAUGUACUGGACGAGGCACUACUAGAAGUUGAUCUCUGGGUAAAGAAGGAAGGGAAUGGAUCAGCUGACAAGCAUAUACUUUCUGCAUAUGCUGAGAUUGAAGUCCGUGCAAAUUUUGAUAUUAUGCUGGGUGGUCGGAUUCCUGGUGUUGAUUGCAACUUGGACCUGAAAUACAUGAUCAUUGCACGAAGUAUUGAGGCGGUAGUACAAGUCUAUGCAGAGGUUGACCAUCCUCAUCACGUGAAGUUCACUGCUUCAAGCACUGGCUAUGACGAUGAGAUUGUGCUGUUUGAUGACAAGAUAUCUGGGAGUGUGAAACUGUUCCAACAUAUUGUCGCGGUUAAGAGAAAUGAAAAUUUGGGGACUUUUCAUGAUGAGUAUGUUGGACCCGUCAGUUCUCCCGAUGACUCGAUCCUUCAGUAUGGCCAGUUUUUUGUGAGGGUGCUUUUUGCUCCAAAGAACUCUGCAUGA
rnacentral:rRNA from 1 species